rnacentral:lncRNA from 1 species
GUGCUUCCCUCCCUCCUGCUCCCUUUCCCACCCUUCCCGGUGGAUGGUGGACGUGUGGCUUGUGUUCUGGGGAGAGAGGAAGCAGCCGGCAUUUGCCAGCCUGGCAGGUGGUAGCCCCUUGUGCCGUGGGAGGGAAGCCUGGAUGAGGGUGGGAGUCGGGGCUGGAAGGCCCAUGUCCCAGACAGCCUGCAUUCCUAAUGUGAGGGCUUAGAGCAAAGGGGUUUGACUGCUCCAGGGUGAGGAGAGAAAAGGUUGUGCAGUCCUAGACAGUGGUGAGCAGGGCAGGCCCGGACAGGACACUGAAGUGCAUGGUGUGAACAUGACAGGUGUUCAACGAGAGAGAGAGACAGAGACAGAGACAGAGAGAACACCAUCCUGGGGCCUGGGAGGCAGGAAAGAGACUCCGACCGCAGACGAGCACCGCGAUGUCCGGGUAGGGGAAGCUCCGCCCUUCCGCACCCCAUUUCUUUUGCCUCUCUGUGCCUUGGAGGCCCAGAGUAGGGCUGAGGUGUGGGGAGGUGCCAACAGUCCGCAAGUCACGAGGUAAACCCCAGCUUGGCCACUUGCCUGGCAGGGGCCCCACAGAAGUCCCUGCAUAUGAAUAGGUGCUUGUCCAAAUUCAUUCCAGCAGCAGCGCCUAUGGACGGGGAGGACAGGAGGAGCAGCCAUGGGGUGUGUGAGGAAGACAGAGCCCCGUCUCCAGGGAGCUGGAAACUUCCCGCAGGCACCACCAUGUGGGACCAGUUCACUGCUGGGAUCAGCAGACCCCUACGUUCCUGCUCUGCUGGAAGGAGGGCGCCCUGCCCGGUUUCCUCCCCGUGAGGGUUUCUGCUGUACCCCCAUCAUCUAUGUGAUGUCAUAUGCCCAGGACUCAAGAAGUGCUUUGAGAAUCGACAGGACUGACUGAGAUGAAGGAGUGGGCAUCCGGUCCUUCCAGGCCCCAGCUGGCUGUGUGAGCAUGGAUGAGUCCCCUCACCUUCCAGUGGCUCCAUUUCCAUGCCUCUUAAGUAAGGAUGUCAGGCUUGAUGCCUCUAAUGUUUGGGUAACUUUUAAGUUGAUUCAUGAACACGUCCCUUGACUUCCUUUUCUCUCCCAACAGCCACCACUGGGUGAGUCUCCCCCUUACAACUGGUCACACUUGUAAAGUCUAAUACCAUUAAUCUCAAAUGCCAAGGUCAUUAACUAGUCAGCACCUGAGGCCUUCAUCAACUCUGCUUCACCACCCUUUCUGGGGCUCCCUUGUUUUUCAUGAGUCCCCUGCCCACAGGCUCAAUUGGGAAGUCAUGGUAGACAUUGUUGCCUAGACCCAGCGCAUCCUCCUCACCUUGGGAGGGCACCAUGCCCGUUCUCAGCCACGAGGUAUGUGGCAGGGACUCCUGCUUCACAAUUUUGCUCAGUAUCAGAGCAGGAUACUCCCCCUGGCCCAUGGUGAUGUUUGCAGCAGAACUUUCAAUCUGUAUCUCGCAUUUCCUCCGAGCAGUGUAUGUCCUCUGGGUCCAGCUUCUCCAUUUGGUGUUAGGGGCAACUACUGAAUCAAUGGGAAGAAAAUAAAACACUGUGUUGUUACCUAUUGUAAGAACA